rnacentral:tRNA from 1 species
GCCGGGGUAGCUCAGUGGUAGAGCAGAGGCCUGAAAAGCCUUGUGUCGGCAGUUCAAUCCUGCCUCCCGGCACCA